UACGUAGGGUGCGAGCGUUGUCCGGAAUUAUUGGGCGUAAAGGGCUCGUAGGCGGUCUGUCACGUCGGGAGUGAAAACUCGGGGCUUAACCCCGAGCCUGCAGUGGAUACGGGCAGACUAGAGGUAGGUAGGGGAGAAUGGAAUUCCCGGUGUAGCGGUGAAAUGCGCAGAUAUCGGGAAGAACACCCGUGGCGAAGGCGGUUCUCUGGGACGGUACUGACGCUGAGACGCGAAAGCGUGGGGAGCGAACAGG
rnacentral:rRNA from 1 species